rnacentral:rRNA from 1 species
UACGUAGGGUGCAAGCGUUGUCCGGAAUUAUUGGGCGUAAAGAGCUCGUAGGCGGUUUGUCGCGUCGGCUGUGAAAACUCGGGGCUCAACUCCGAGCCUGCAGUCGAUACGGGCAGACUAGAGUGCGGUAGGGGAGACUGGAAUUCCUGGUGUAGCGGUGAAAUGCGCAGAUAUCAGGAGGAACACCGGUGGCGAAGGCGGGUCUCUGGGCCGUAACUGACGCUGAGGAGCGAAAGCGUGGGGAGCAAACAGG